UACGUAGGGGGCAAGCGUUGUCCGGAUUUAUUGGGCGUAAAGAGCGUGUAGGCGGCCACACAGGUCAGCUGUGAAAACUCGAGGCUCAACCUCGAGACGUCGGUUGAAACCGUAUGGCUAGAGUCCGGAAGAGGAGAGUGGAAUUCCCGGUGUAGCGGUGAAAUGCGCAGAUAUCGGGAAGAACACCCGUGGCGAAGGCGGCACUCUGGGACGGUACUGACGCUGAGACGCGAAAGCGUGGGGAGCGAACAGG
rnacentral:rRNA from 1 species